rnacentral:rRNA from 2 species
GACGAACGCUGGCGGCGUGCCUAAUACAUGCAAGUCGAACGAACUCUGGUAUUGAUUGGUGCUUGCAUCAUGAUUUACAUUUGAGUGAGUGGCGAACUGGUGAGUAACACGUGGGAAACCUGCCCAGAAGCGGGGGAUAACACCUGGAAACAGAUGCUAAUACCGCAUAACAACUUGGACCGCAUGGUCCGAGUUUGAAAGAUGGCUUCGGCUAUCACUUUUGGAUGGUCCCGCGGCGUAUUAGCUAGAUGGUGNGGUAACGGCUCACCAUGGCAAUGAUACGUAGCCGACCUGAGAGGGUAAUCGGCCACAUUGGGACUGAGACACGGCCCAAACUCCUACGGGAGGCAGCAGUAGGGAAUCUUCCACAAUGGACGAAAGUCUGAUGGAGCAACGCCGCGUGAGUGAAGAAGGGUUUCGGCUCGUAAAACUCUGUUGUUAAAGAAGAACAUAUCUGAGAGUAACUGUUCAGGUAUUGACGGUAUUUAACCAGAAAGCCACGGCUAACUACGUGCCAGCAGCCGCGGUAAUACGUAGGUGGCAAGCGUUGUCCGGAUUUAUUGGGCGUAAAGCGAGCGCAGGCGGUUUUUUAAGUCUGAUGUGAAAGCCUUCGGCUCAACCGAAGAAGUGCAUCGGAAACUGGGAAACUUGAGUGCAGAAGAGGACAGUGGAACUCCAUGUGUAGCGGUGAAAUGCGUAGAUAUAUGGAAGAACACCAGUGGCGAAGGCGGCUGUCUGGUCUGUAACUGACGCUGAGGCUCGAAAGUAUGGGUAGCAAACAGGAUUAGAUACCCUGGUAGUCCAUACCGUAAACGAUGAAUGCUAAGUGUUGGAGGGUUUCCGCCCUUCAGUGCUGCAGCUAACGCAUUAAGCAUUCCGCCUGGGGAGUACGGCCGCAAGGCUGAAACUCAAAGGAAUUGACGGGGGCCCGCACAAGCGGUGGAGCAUGUGGUUUAAUUCGAAGCUACGCGAAGAACCUUACCAGGUCUUGACAUACUAUGCAAAUCUAAGAGAUUAGACGUUCCCUUCGGGGACAUGGAUACAGGUGGUGCAUGGUUGUCGUCAGCUCGUGUCGUGAGAUGUUGGGUUAAGUCCCGCAACGAGCGCAACCCUUAUUAUCAGUUGCCAGCAUUAAGUUGGGCACUCUGGUGAGACUGCCGGUGACAAACCGGAGGAAGGUGGGGAUGACGUCAAAUCAUCAUGCCCCUUAUGACCUGGGCUACACACGUGCUACAAUGGAUGGUACAACGAGUUGCGAACUCGCGAGAGUAAGCUAAUCUCUUAAAGCCAUUCUCAGUUCGGAUUGUAGGCUGCAACUCGCCUACAUGAAGUCGGAAUCGCUAGUAAUCGCGGAUCAGCAUGCCGCGGUGAAUACGUUCCCGGGCCUUGUACACACCGCCCGUCACACCAUGAGAGUUUGUAACACCCAAAGUCGGUGGGGUAACCUUUUAGGAACCAGCCGCCUAAGGUGGGACAGAUGAUUAGGGUGAAG